rnacentral:rRNA from 1 species
CCUGUUUAUCAAAAACAUGGCUCUUUGUUUUUAUUACUAUAAGGAGUCGGACCUGCCCGGUGAAGAUAUUUUAACGGCCGCGGUACUCUGACCGUGCAAAGGUAGCAUAAUCAUUUGCCCUAUAAUUAAGGGCUAGUAUGAAUGGUUUGACAAGAGCAGCACUGUCUCUGCAAAAAUACUUAGAAUUUAAUGUUCAAGUGAAGAAUCUUGAAUUAAAUUAAUAGACAAGAAGACCCUAUCGAGCUUAAAACAAUUAAGUGGAUUUUAUUUGAACUAUAUUUUAGUAUUCUUUUCCACUUAAAAAUUUUGGUUGGGGCGACUGAGGAACAACUAAAGCUUCCUAGAUACUAUUUACCUAUAGGUUUUGAUCCGACUAUUUCGAUUAAAAGAAUUAGUUACCGUAGGGAUAACAGCAUAAUCCUUUUUGAGAGUCCAUAUCGAAAAAAGGGUUUGUGACCUCGAUGUUGGACUAGAAUAUCCAGAAGAUGCAGAAGU